GUUUUCAUAGGUAACCAGUACAUCCUCUGGCCUUAGGGGCCGGCAAUCUCGGUGCAACCCAAAGUGAAAACA